UACGAAGGGGGCUAGCGUUGCUCGGAAUCACUGGGCGUAAAGCGCACGUAGGCGGCUUUCUAAGUCAGGGGUGAAAUCCUGGAGCUCAACUCCAGAACUGCCUUUGAUACUGGAGAGCUUGAGUCCGGAAGAGGUGAGUGGAACUCCGAGUGUAGAGGUGAAAUUCGUAGAUAUUAGGAAGAACACCGGUAGCGAAGGCGGCCCACUGGUCCGGUACUGACGCUGAGGUGCGAAAGCGUGGGGAGCAAACAGG
rnacentral:rRNA from 1 species